AAUACGUUCCCGGACCUUGCACACACCGCCCCGUCAAGCCAUGGAAGCUGGGUGUACCUAAAGUCGGUAACCGCAAGGAGCCGCCUAGGGUAAAACUAGUGACUGGGGCU
rnacentral:rRNA from 1 species